rnacentral:rRNA from 1 species
UACGAAGGGUGCAAGCGUUAAUCGGAAUUACUGGGCGUAAAGGGUGCGUAGGCGGUUGUUUAAGUCUGUCGUGAAAUCCCCGGGCUCAACCUGGGAAUGGCGAUGGAUACUGGGCAGCUAGAGUGUGUCAGAGGAUGGUGGAAUUCCCGGUGUAGCGGUGAAAUGCGUAGAGAUCGGGAGGAACAUCAGUGGCGAAGGCGGAGACCUGGGCAGAUAUUGACGCUGAGGUGCGAAAGCGUGGGGAGCAAACAGG